UACGUAGGGGGCAAGCGUUGUCCGGAUUUAUUGGGCGUACAGAGCGUGUAGGCGGCCUGAAAGGUCAGCUGUGAAAACUCGAGGCUCAACCUCGAGACGUCGGUUGAAACCAUCUGGCUAGAGUCCGGAAGAGGAGUGUGGAAUUCCCGGUGUAGCGGUGAAAUGCGCAGAUAUCGGGAAGAACACCCGUGGCGAAGGCGGCACUCUGGGACGGUACUGACGCUGAGACGCGAAAGCGUGGGGAGCGAACAGG
rnacentral:rRNA from 1 species